rnacentral:rRNA from 1 species
AUACGGGGGGUGCAAGCGUUAAUCGGAAUUACUGGGCGUAAAGCGCGCGUAGGCGGUUUGCUCAGUCGGAUGUGAAAGCCCAGGGCUCAACCUUGGAACUGCAUACGAUACUGGCAAACUAGAGUGUGAGAGAGGAUAGUGGAAUUUCCGGUGUAGCGGUGAAAUGCGUAGAUAUCGGAAGGAACAUCAGUGGCGAAGGCGACUGUCUGGCUCAACACUGACGCUGAGGUGCGAAAGCGUGGGUAGCAAACGGGAUUAGAUACCCUAGUAGUCC